AACGAACGCUGGCGGCAGGCUUAACACAUGCAAGUCGAACGCCCCGCAAGGGGAGUGGCAGACGGGUGAGUAACGCGUGGGAAUCUACCCAUCCCUACGGAACAACUCCGGGAAACUGGAGCUAAUACUGUAUACGCCCUACGGGGGAAAGAUUUAUCGGGGAUGGAUGAGCCCGCGUUGGAUUAGCUAGUUGGUGGGGUAAAGGCCUACCAAGGCGACGAUCCAUAGCUGGUCUGAGAGGAUGAUCAGCCACAUUGGGACUGAGACACGGCCCAAACUCCUACGGGAGGCAGCAGUGGGGAAUAUUGGACAAUGGGCGCAAGCCUGAUCCAGCCAUGCCGCGUGAGUGAUGAAGGUCUUAGGAUUGUAAAGCUCUUUCACCGGUGAAGAUAAUGACGGUAACCGGAGAAGAAGCCCCGGCUAACUUCGUGCCAGCAGCCGCCGUAACAC
rnacentral:rRNA from 1 species